rnacentral:rRNA from 1 species
GACGAACCGUGCGAACGUUGUUCGGAAUCACUGGGCUUAAAGGGCGCGUAGGCGGGCGGCCGCGUCCGGGGUGAAAUCCUCCCGCUCAACGGGAGAACGGCCUCGGGUACGGGCGGCCUCGAGGGGGGUAGGGGCGUGCGGAACUGUGGGUGGAGCGGUGAAAUGCGUUGAUAUCCACAGGAACUCCGGUGGCGAAGGCGGCACGCUGGACCCCUCCUGACGCUGAGGCGCGAAAGCCAGGGGAGCGAACGGG